rnacentral:rRNA from 1 species
CCUACGGGUGGCAGCAGUGGGGAAUAUUGCACAAUGGUGGGAACCCUGAUGCAGCGACGCCGCGUGAGUGAAGAAGUAUUUCGGUAUGUAAAGCUCUAUCAGCAGGGAAGAAAAUGACGGUACCUGACUAAGAAGCCCCGGCUAACUACGUGCCAGCAGCCGCGGUCAUACGUAGGGGGCAAGCGUUAUCCGGAGUUACUGGGUGGAAAGGGAGCGCAGACGGCUGUGCAAGUCUGGAGUGAAAGGCGGGGGCCCAACCCCCGGACUGCGCUGGAAACUGUAAAGCUGGAGUGCAGGAGAGGUAAGCGGAAUUCCUAGUGUAGCGGUGAAAUGCGUAGAUAUUAGGAGGAACACCAGUGGCGAAGGCGGCUUACUGGACUGCAACUGACGUUGAGGCUCGAAAGCGUGGGGAGCAAACAGGAUUAGAUACCCCAGUAGUC